rnacentral:rRNA from 1 species
UACGGAGGACCCAAGCGUUAUCCGGAUUUAUUGGGUUUAAAGGGUGCGUAGGUGGCCUGUUAAGUCAGGGGUGAAAGACGGUAGCUUAACUAUCGCAGUGCCCUUGAUACUGAUGGUCUUGAAUGAACUAGAGGUAGGCGGAAUGUGACAAGUAGCGGUGAAAUGCAUAGAUAUGUCACAGAACACCAAUUGCGAAGGCAGCUUACUAUGGUUUUAUUGACACUGAGGCACGAAAGCGUGGGGAUCAAACAGG